UACGUAAGUAAGUAAGAUCCCUGAAAGAUGAUCAGGUAGAUAGGAUGGAAGUGGAAGUGCUGCGAGGCAUGGAGCGGACCAUUACUAAUCGAUCGAGGACUUAACCAAG
rnacentral:rRNA from 1 species